rnacentral:rRNA from 1 species
UACGUAGGGUCCGAGCGUUGUCCGGAGUGACUGGGCGUAAAGCGCGCGCAGGCGGCCCGCGAGGUGUCCUGUGAAAGCCCCGUGCUCAACGCGGGAGGGUCAGGGCAAACCGGCGGCUUGAGGCCGGUAGAGGUGGGUGGAACUCCUGGUGGAGUGGUGAAAUGCGUAGAGAUCAGGAAGAACGACCCGUGGCGAAGGCGGGCCCACUGGCCGGUACU